CCCACAUGAGAAACCAGUGGCUGUUUGGACUGCCAAGUGUCAGCAGGUGUCUGUCUCCAGUUUCGCUAUCAGACUUCACUUCGCAAUGAUCCCUCUGUGAGAGGUGCAGAAAGCUGCUAUUAUGGAAAUAACUGUCUGCUAAGCUGAGCACAGUGGGGAGUUCUCAGGAAGAUGAUUCUUCUGAACAUGCCUGUGAAAUGCUGCUGAAAAUGGCUACACCAAAGCAAGGAGCAACUCCUCUCAUACCAUCCCAGCACAUCAACUGACAGAGUUGCAAAACCUGAAUCCUUAAAAUCCUGACUGAAUUGA